rnacentral:rRNA from 1 species
GACGAACGCUGGCGGCGUGCUUAACACAUGCAAGUCGAACGAUGAACCCGGAGCUUGCUCCGGUGGAUUAGUGGCGAACGGGUGAGUAACACGUGAGUAACCUGCCCUUGACUCUGGGAUAACUGCGGGAAACUGUAGCUAAUACCGGAUACGACCCUCGGCGGCAUCGCCAGGGGUGGAAAGAAUUUCGGUCAAGGAUGGACUCGCGGCCUAUCAGCUAGUUGGUGAGGUAAUGGCUCACCAAGGCGACGACGGGUAGCCGGCCUGAGAGGGUGACCGGCCACACUGGAACUGAGACACGGUCCAGACUCCUACGGGAGGCAGCAGUGGGGAAUAUUGGUCAAUGGGUGCAAGCCUGAACCAGCCAUCCCGCGUGAAGGACGACUGCCCUAUGGGUUGUAAACUUCUUUUGUAUAGGGAUAAACCUACUCUCGUGAGGGUAGCUGAAGGUACUAUACGAAUAAGCACCGGCUAACUCCGUGCCAGCAGCCGCGGU